CCCCACUCGCUCCGCCCCCGCUCGCUUCUGCCCGCAGCCACCCGUUCCCGCGAGCGCUGCCGUGGGGGUUGCACGCGCGUCCCGGCUGCCGCCACCCAGCUGGAGUUUCAGGAUGCUCUACACCCAGGACUUUUUGAAGCUGCCUUUUCAACAGUGACAGUCAUGAAAAUGUGACCAUCACUGCAUUAGCAGAAAACCAAAAACACUGAUGAACAAUCCUGAAAAAAAAUCCCCAUUAUGGUGGAGCUUACCUUCUAGUGAAAAGGAUUGCAGGGUUCUUGUCUCACGGAGUCGAAGAAUGAAUCUCACGGACACAAAAGGGUGAAGUGAAGUGAAAGUUUAUUAAGUGAAGUUUGAGAUCAUUUCAAAGCUACAGAAAAGGAUGCGAAGAAAUCCUGUAUACUCUUCAUCCAGGACCCAGAGAGAGAGAGCCAGAGAGCACAAGCAGGAGGAGUGGCAGAGGAAGAGAGAGAAGAAGGCUCCCUGCUGAGCAGGGAUCCCCAUGUGGGGCUCGAUGUGGGGCUCAAUCCCAGGCCCCUGGGAUCAUGACCUGAGCCGAAGGCAGAUGUUUAACUGACUGAGCCACCCAGGUGCCCCAACAAAUAAUUUUUUUAAAGCCUUCCUAUUUUCCCCUUUCCUUUCUGUUCUGGACCCAACUGAGAAGCACGCACAGCAUUAAGUUGUCAUGUAUUUUCUUCAAUCUGGACAGUUUCUCGGGCUUUUCUUGUCUUUAAGAUCUUGACAUUUUUGAAGGUCAGACAUUUUGAAGGCUUUCAAUUUGGGUUUGUCUAUUGUUUCCUCAUGAUUAGAUUCAGGUUAUGAUUUGAGGGGCAGGAAUAUCACAAAUGUGAUGCUGUGUUCUUAGUGCAUCGUAUCAGGAAAUCUACAAUGUCAUUUUGUUCUGUUACAGGUGAUGUUAGCUCUUAUCAUUUUGUUUUUCCACUGCAAACUAAUUAAUUGGUUAUUAACCUAAAAAUAGUUUCUAAGUAUUUUAUAGGGAGAUACUUUGGGACUAUGUAAAUAUCCUUUUUCUCAUCAAACGUUCAUCCACUAUUUUCCCUGAACCAUUAAUUACUAGGGUUGUUACCACAUGGUGAUUUUCUAAUUACAUUAUUUCUUCUACAUUAAUUAGUUGGCAUUCUACCAUAAAGUAGAGCUUUCUAUUUAUUUAUUCAUUUCCUUGUAUCAGUGUAGAUUUAUGGAUUCCUAUUUUAUUCAGUAGUUUAUAAUGCAUUAUUAAUAUUAUUUAUUUUGGUGCUCAAUUUGUUUCGUAUUUGGCCAGUGGGAGCCUUUUCCAGUUGAAUCCUGUGUCGUUUAACAUGAUCCCAAUAUUUUCUUAAGAUUUUAUUUAUUUAUCUAUUUAUUUAUUUAUUUUUAAAUAUCUUAUUUAUUUAUUUAUUUAUUUGACAGAGAGAGAGACACAGCGAGAGAGGGAACAGAACCAGGGGGAGUGGGAGAGGGAGAAGCAGGCUUCCCGCCCAGCAGGGAGCCUGAUGCGGGGCUCCAUCCCAGGACCCUGGGAUCAUGACCUGAGCCGAAGGCAGACGCUUAACCGACUAAGCCACCCUGGGACCCCAACAUGCUCCCAAUAUUUUUUGAGAGCUUCUUUAUUUUCUGGAGCAAGCAGAUGUUUCAGACUUAACUUGUGUUUUCCUUGGAACAGUCCUGGAAUUGGCAACUUAUCCAAUGAACCCUGGUUCCUUUAAGUAAGGUGUUUAGAAACCAAGACCUGGGUGCUAAGUUGCUCUUUGUUAUAAGAGCACCACUGGUUUCAGGCCUCUUGCCAGAAAGAGCCAGGAAAAGUUCUAUGCCUACCCAACAUCUAUAUCUAUAUCUAUAUCUAUCUACACAGUAAAACAACUAUGAGUUCACAACAUUACCUAUACAUCCAAUCCAAUUCCACAGUUUGUUCUAGUGUUCCCCUUUCCGUAUUUGUACUACUUCUCUGAUAAUAAGAAAAUUGUCUCCCAUCAUCAUUAAUACAUUUAUUUUCCCUGUAAGUAACCAAUAUCCAGAUCAAGGGAGCCAUCUCCUCCACCUCCUUGGUUAACAUCACCAAACCAAAUCCACAGGCCACCUUCUCAGUCCUGGUCCUGCCACACCUGCCAGUGACACUAUUUAGUCCCUCUGACCCCAAACAGUCUCCAGUCAUUCGUGAUUGCGCCCUCCCCUUCACUCUGCCCGUAUAAUCAACCACAAAGCCCUGAUUAUCCUGCCUCCUAAAUAUUCCCUGAAUCUGUCUCCUUCUUUCUACUCUUUCCAUGGAUGGUAUAACAGGUAAACUGUACCAACUGCCUAGCAAAUCGUUGAUGUAAUUGAGGGCGCUGGUAGAUUCUUUCUCCCUCCCCCUCUAAUGUUUUUUGGCUGGUGACCAAUUUUUAAGGGACUUAUUAACCAUAAUUAGAGAGUGACAUGUUUCCCAGGCCAUGCUUGCUCUCUCCCCGAUGAUUAUUCAGAGCCAGGAAUUGAAUGGGAGGAGUUAAGCUUUGGUCCUGGCCUGCAAGGUGGGGAGACGCUCAGAUGACAGAGCUGUUCUGGUUGAAGGGUGGAGGAAGAGGCAGAAGGUGAGAGGCCAUCUCUAUUAGUUGAGCCCCCCUGGUGGCUUGGUAUCUUCUAGCUUCCAGUCCUAACCUCUAACGGGCAAAUUGAAAAGCCCAGCUCUUCUCUGUAAUUCUGACAGGUAACUAAUACAGCAUUAAUCAGCUACUAACUAAUUGCUAAACUCCUAUGGGUAGGUGAGUGCAGCUCAGCUUGGUGCUGCACCCUCUUUUCUAGUAAUUUGUCCCAAGAGUUGAGUUAACUUCCCUGUCUUUUAACUAUUUCACAUUGUCACUGACCUUGCCUUAUCAGCUCAGAGCUGAUCUAAGAAGUGCAGGUGGGGUAGGGUUGGGAAAGUGGCUUUUCUUCUGAUUAUAAAAGAAAUCACAACUUUCCAAAAACUGGGGGACAAUGAAAAGAAAAUAAAGAAAAUGAAAGUCAUCCACAAUACCACAACUCUCUGAUGUAAUUUCUUCCAGUUUUUCUCUGCUCUUAUAAAACAACUUGAUAUUAUAAAAGGUAUUUCCUUUUAUAUCUUUUUUCUUAACAUUAUGAUAUCAGCAUUCUUCCAUUUCAUUUAAAAUCUUUUGAAAAUAUUAUUAAUGAAAACAUAGAUGUGUCCUAACAAU